rnacentral:rRNA from 1 species
GCAAGAUUAAAACUCAAAGGAAUAGACGGGGACCCGCACAAGAGGUGGAGCAUGUGGUUUAAUUCGAAGAUACGCGAAGAACCUUACCUAGCCUUGACAUUGAUAGAAUCUUCCAGAGAUGGAGGAGUGCCUUUCGGGGAACUUGAAAACAGGUGCUGCACGGCUGUCGUCAGCUCGUGUCGUGAGAUGUUGGGUUAAGUCCCGCAACGAGCGCAACCCUCGUCACUAGUUACUAACAGUUAGGCUGAGGACUCUAGUGAGACUGCCUUCGUAAGGAGGAGGAAGGUGAGGACGACGUCAAGUCAUCAUGGCCCUUACGGCUAGGGCAACACACGUGCUACAAUGGUUAGGACAGUGAGAAGCGAUACCGCGAGGUGGAGCCAAUCUAUAAACCUAAUCUCAGUUCGGAUUGUAGUCUGCAACUCGACUACAUGAAGCUGGAAUCACUAGUAAUCGUAGAUCAGCUAUGCUACGGUGAAUACGUUCCCGGGUCUUGUACUCACCGCCCGUCACACCAUGGGAGUUGAUUUCACCCGAAGCGGGGAAGCUAAACUGGCUACCCUCCACGGUGGAAUUAGCGACUGGGGUGAAGUCGUAACAAGGUA